rnacentral:rRNA from 1 species
UUAUUGGGCGUAAAGCGCGCGCAGGCGGUUUCUUAAGUCUGAUGUGAAAGCCCCCGGCUCAACCGGGGAGGGUCAUUGGAAACUGGGAAACUUGAGUGCAGAAGAGGAAAGUGGAAUUCCAAGUGUAGCGGUGAAAUGCGUAGAGAUUUGGAGGAACACCAGUGGCGAAGGCGACUUUCUGGUCUGUAACUGACGCUGAGGCGCGAAAGCGUGGGGAGCAAACAGGAUUAGAUACCCUGGUAGUCCACGCUGUAAACGAUGAGUGCUAAGUGUUAGAGGGUUUCCGCCCUUUAGUGCUGAAGUUAACGCAUUAAGCACUCCGCCUGGGGAGUACGGUCGCAAGACUGAAACUCAAAGGAAUUGACGGGGGCCCGCACAAGUGGUGGAGCAUGUGGUUUAAUUCGAAGCAACGCGAAGAACCUUACCAGGUCUUGACAUCCUCUGACAACCCUAGAGAUAGGGCUUUCCCUUCGGGGACAGAGUGACAGGUGGUGCAUGGUUGUCGUCAGCUCGUGUCGUGAGAUGUUGGGUUAAGUCCCGCAACGAGCGCAACCCUUGAUCUUAGUUGCCAGCAUUUAGUUGGGCACUCUAAGGUGACUGCCGGUGACAAACCGGAGGAAGGUGGGGAUGACGUCAAAUCAUCAUGCCCCUUAUGACCUGGGCUACACACGUGCUACAAUGGAUAGUACAAAGGGUUGCAAGACCGCGAGGUGGAGCUAAUCCCAUAAAACUAUUCUCAGUUCGGAUUGUAGGCUGCAACUCGCCUACAUGAAGCCGGAAUCACUAGUAAUCGCGGAUCA